CAGGAAGUGACAUAGCAAGGAGACUCAUAUUUGAGCGAGGAGAAAUGGGAAGUUCGCUCUUUUUCCCCUCGGCUCCUGCUCCAGCGCCAUGAUGUGAUCCACUGACAAGGAGGGACGCCAAUAAGGUGUCCGAUAAGAUAAGUCUUAUAAAAUAUAUGUUUAUGAUAAUUGAGACUGAGCUAACAGAUGAGGAAUCCUAGUCAUUGGCCAAGCAGCAUUGUACCUAAUACAAGUUGCUGUGUAAUCAUUUGGGCCGUAACUCGGGUGGGCAACUGGCGUAAAGCUCACACGUGGCGGUAGGGCUCAGGCAGCUUAUGGUAGAAAGAUUUAUCGUAACAGAAUGGUGUCAGAAGUGGGAUGACUCCAUGCCCCAAGGUUUCCAGAGAAAGAAGUAAACCUGCCGCCACAGCCUGCCCUGUCCGGCCGCUGAGAGGCAUCAGAGCAGCUUCCAUAUGCUCGCGCCAUCCCAGAGCUUCUGGGGUUUAGACUCGGCACUCCCAAGAUGAUAAAGUCAGAUCCAGAUAAAGAAAAACCUCUAAAGGUUUACACUAUAUUAAAAAAUAUAUGUAGGCUUGUGAGAGGAAAAAAUAACAGGAAGAAAUAGAUUAGCCAGUUGUGGUGGCACACACCUGUAGGAUUUGCUGAAGGAAGCAGAGGCAGGCGGAUUUCCUCAGAGGAACCCUGUCUCAGAAAGAAAAAAAAGAAAGUAAAAGUAAAGUAAUAAAGAAGCCACAUAAAGAUGAAAAAUACAGAGAGAAUCUGGAUACUAAAUGCCAUAUUGUUGUCUUUAAAUUGUUUGAUUGCCGAGGAAAGACUUAUUGCUGCUAAAAUACAUUUGAUUAUAAAUGCUGCUAAAUUAAUCCAACUUAUACAUUUUAAAAAUGCUCUAACUUCAAAAUUUAAGUUUAAGGACAGGCUACUUAGAAAUAAAGGUUUUGCUUGUAUUUCCACAGAAAAUGAAAAGCUGUGGAUUCCUUCCAGACUAUUAUGGUUUGAUCAAACAAGACCCCCUGAAGCUGAGACGAUACAGCCUUACUGACUACAAAAACAAGGACUUGGUCAGGUUUCUAUGUUUUAUCAUGAUCCCCAUGGUAUAUGAACAUCGCCCCCAAUCAGCAGGAAGCAGUUUAGAAAGAACGACGCCCAUAUUCCCAAAUAUUGUUUAUAAAAGUUUGUUUUCAUUUAAAUGGGGUUAGAUAUAAAUGAUAAGGAGCAUAGUCAAUUUUUUUAAAGAAAAAAGGGGAAUAGGAUAUAGGAAUUAAUACUUUGCAUUGGUAUAGAUUUUCAUUUAUUGAUACAACUUUAAGGUCAAUUUUGUGAUAUGUAUACGUCUCCUCUUGUUUAGGUAUUCUGUUUAUACAGAUCUUUUACCUAUAAUAGUCAGAACUUAUAAUUAGGUUAGUUAGGUUUUCUAGAUUUACAGAGAUGUAUUUGAAACGGAUAGAUGUAUUCAAACCUUUCAAAGACCUACAGAAAAAGGCAUUUAAAUGGUUUAGGGCUUUUCUUGGCAGUGAGACACAACUGCUCCUGGCACACCAAUUACGUCAGAAAGGAGGAUGGGCUUCGAAGAAACUUGUUAUGGAAUUUGCUUUCAACAUGACAAGAUUAGCCAUUUGGACAAGAAACUGCUCUUGACUGGACUGUUUGUUGCUGUAUAAACUAGACAUACAGGACCCACAAGAAAAUGACUGCUGAACUUACAAAACAAGACAGUACUGAAGGGUUCCUGUUGAAAUGGAGAAGUGUGCCAGACACACUGUGGCCUAUGGCUGAAGAUGGAUGCCCCAUUAGAGAGGAACUUUGGGUGACUGUCCAGGCAGUGAGAUGUCUCUGUCAAUUCUAGAGUUUAUAUAUUAUCCUUCUGUGGUCUUUGAUAGAAUUGAAGACAGGUAGUUAUGGUUAUAGUUUUCUUCAGUUAUUAUAAAAGAUAAGUUAUCCUUUUAUUUAGACAGAAAAGAGGAGAUGAUGGGGAAUGUACUGUGUAUGUUUAUCUUAUUGAUUGUUGAAUAAAAUACUGUUUGGCCAAUGAGACAGCAAGUUAGACGGAACUAGGAGUCAAAGAGGAUUCUGGGAGAUGUAGUAGAGAAGUGGUGGUCUAGGCAGGAAGUGACAUAUUUGAGCGAGGAGAAACGGGAAGUUUUCUCUUUUUUCCCCUCGGCUCCUGCUCCAGUGGCACCAUGUGAUCCACCGACAAGGAGGGAAGCCAAUAAGGAAAAGGAAAAUAAUAUGGCUGAAUCAUCCUCUUCAUUUCUCACCCCUCCCCAGUCAUGUGGAGCCAGAAGUAAAUGUAUUCCCCUUCCCUCUGCGAGUCCUCAAAUCGGUGAGGGAAGGGUCACGUGCACACGAGGAGGAAUCACCUGACCUUUGGAGAAUGCCCUGCUACCCCCCAGAAUGCACAAUAGCUAAAGACAAUCAAAGCUUCUUUCACUGGGAAACAAUACAACACAGCCACAAAUGAGGCGAUUCUGAAUGAGACCUUGGGCAACCAAGUCAGUCUUCCUCAGCAUCAAUUUCUCACUGUGGUGGCAAUCUUCACUGUCAGUUUCAUGGUCUUUAGACUCACCUGGGAGAUGGUGAGGCCCACCUCUAGGUGUGCCACAGAGAGGGUUAACUAAGGAAGAGAGAAUCACUCUGAAUGUGAGCAACACCAUCCCAUGGGCUGAGGGAUUCCCUGACAGAAUAUAAAGAGAACAUGGAGGCCACCUGUCUCCUGGCCUAUAUGAAGUGAAGGGUGCUCUCCCCUAUACCUGUUUCUGCCACCUGAGCGAGCACCUGGGCCGAGUGACCUCAGACUGGAUGCCCUAAAAUCCUAAGUCAAAUAAACCCUUCCUCCAUUAGGUUGCCUCUGCUGGGUAAUUUGUUAUAGUGAAAAGUAACUACUAUACUUACUGUGUGAGCAGCCAGGCUGCUGCUCUUGCAGAGGAUCUACGCGGUGGCUCAUAACCAUCUAUAACUCCAGCUCUAGGGAAUCUGACACCCUCUUCUGUCAUCCACAGCACAUGAGUGAUGCACAGACAUGUGUGCAGGUGAGUAUUCAUAUACAUUAAACAAAGCCAAAUGCAUCUGUUUUUACAAAAGAAAGGAACGACAACAAUUGGAAACUCAGUGUAUACUGUUGAACUACAAGAGGCUUUCUAUCUCCACUUCCCUGGCCAACCAGAAACACAGCACUGCAGUCUGCUGGAAUUCAGUGCCUUCACCUAGAAAAGUACUCUCAUCAUCUCCAAGGACCCUUCCAAUCUAAGACCGCUGUUAGAACAAGAUCCCAGAGAGGAGAUGAAGUAAGCCUGAUUGAGAAGACACGUCCAGGGCCUAGAGAAAUGGCUCGGCAGUUAAGAGCACUUAAGUCCCCUUGCAGAGGACUGGAGUUCAGAUCCAUCAAAAAGUACUUUUCCUCAACCAUCCUUUCCAACUCAAGACUAGAGGCAAUUCAACACAACCAAAACAGGUGAGGUAAAGGAUAUCAGACUGGAAAAAGGAGAAGAAAGGAGUCUUCUUAGCAUUUGGCAUGAUUGUGGUAACUUCCAAAGCUCUACCGCUAGAACCAAUGGGUGGAUUCAACAAUGUUUCCAGUGACAAAACAAAUGUGUUUUGUUUCUAUAUACUACUGGAUAUGACGCGCACAUUUAAACAAAACAUUGGCUACCUUCACAAUCACUCAAGGAAAACGAAACAGGAAACGUUUGUGGGUAAAUGUAACAACACUUUACAUGGUCUGGACUUUGGCUCAGUUCAUUUGGGCUGCUGUAGUAAAAACUCAUCAGCCUGAGUGGAAUUCAUUUUUCAUGGUCUGGGAGGCUGGGAAGUACAAGAUCAAAACACCAGCAGAUUCAGUGUCUGGAGAGAGCUGCUCUCUGCUUCACAGAUGGCAUUCUCCGGCUGUGUCCUCGCAUGCGGGACAGUAAACAAGUUCCCUGUGUCCUGUUUUAUCAGGUUGUUAUUAUUCCUGUAUUACUCGGGGUUCUUUAGAAUACCUACAGAAUAGACUCCGAUGGUGUUUAUCAGAUCUGCUUACAUGAUACAGUCUGGGUAGUCCAUCAGUGGCUGUCUUCAGGGUAGACAGGCUGAGCCUACUCUUCAGUCAGCAAUGGAACCCAGGUUCUGCCAUCAGUGAAGGAAUCCAAAAGCAGCAGCAGCAGCAGCGGAAGCAACAGAGGUAGAUGAACUCAAUUCACCAGUGAGGUGUGAAGGCAAUGAAGCGAACAGCAAAGCUUCGCCCUUCGGCCCUGUUAUCUGGACUGCCACAGAAAGGUAGCAUCCACACCCAGGAUGGAUCCUCCACUUUAGACAACGUGAUUAAUAAAAUCCUCCAGCAGCUCAUCUCUCAGCUGAUUGACGAUCCAGUCAAGUUGAAAACCAAGACUAACCAUCCCAGGAACCGGCCAGAGCCAUGACCAAGUCAUCUCCCAGAAGCCUGUGGGACCUCCUAAGAUGAUUACAAUUGGGAGCCAGGUUCUAAUGUGUUAAUUCGAGGACUCCUAUUGUUUACUUUGUGCUGCUAAGACAAACCAGGUUUUAAUGUAUUAACUUGAGGGGGGGUCUAUUGUUUACUUUGUGUUGCUAUGGCAAACCAGGUUUUAACAUAUUAGUUUCAGGGAGUCUAUUGUUUGCUUUGGGUUGCUAAGGCAAACAUAUUUAAGAGGAAAAGGUUGGUUUUGACUCAUGAUUACAGGGGAUUUUCAGUUCAUCUUCAGUGGGGAGAGCAAGGCAAAGUAGCUCGAUCCACCAUGGUGGGAGCAUUUAGCAAAAGAUCCUCACACCCCAUGGACCAGGAAGGAAGCAAAGAAUCCCAGCACCAGUGCGAGGCCAUACUCUGGAAAAGUCUAUACCUUAUGGCUAACUUCUGUUAGCCGCCCGAUCCCUACUUUUUCCCAAAACAUCACCAGCUGGGGAAUAAGGGUUUAAAACAUAAGUUCUCUCUAGAUGGAAACCACAACAUACAAUCUUUGUUCUCCAAAGUUUCAUGGCCAUCUCAAAAUGCAAAACACACCCAGUAAGAAUUCAUGAAUUCCCCACAGCCUGGGCAGCACUGGCACUUGAGAAGCCCAAAGUUUGAAGUCUCUUCUGAGAUACCAGGUACCCUCUAAGGCUUAGAGGGUAAGUGAUAAGCUCCUGUGCAAUCACAAAGGGAUUUGUGUACUUCCACUCUACAGUGGUACACGCCAAACACUCCCAUCCUAAAAGGGAGGAAACAAAGGAUAACAAGGAAAGAUUGAACCAAAGAAAGGCCAAAACCCAGCAAGGAAAACAUCAAACACUUCAACUCUGUGUCUAGCAUCCAGAUAUCAAAUGCUUCUCAACUUUCCUAAUGCUGAGACCCUUUAAUGCAGUUCCUCAUGUUGUGGUGACCCUCCGCCAACCAUAAAAUUAUUUUCGUGGCUACCUCAUAACUGUACUCCUGCUACUGUUACGAAUUGUUCUGUAAUUAUCCGUGUUUUCUGAUGGUCCUAGGCAGCACCCUGUGAAAGGGUCCUUUCACACCCCCAGUGGUCAUGACCCACACACAGGUUGAGAAUCACUGGCACAUUAGUUUGGGAACCUCCACAAUGUUUCCAUUCUCCACAGCUGGACUGGGGCUCCUCAAUGCCUGCAGUAUCCUCGGCAGAAACUCCAUGCUCCUCACACCUAUCUCCACAUCCUCAGGUCUCCACUGUGGCUUAGGCUUCAUCCUCACAGUUUCAUGCAUCUUGCUAUUCUGUGCUCCCUGCAGGGACUCUGGCCCUGCUCACUCCUAGGUUUUUCUCCCAAAGCUACAAGACUUCUAUGACCCUGUAACUCUUGUCAUUUUCACACCUGAAAACUUAAUGCCACAUAGAUACUGCCAAGUUCUUCUGCCAGCUCAAGAUGUAGCCAGAACCCCAUAGACAGCAGUCACAGCCUUGGAGGGACUUCAUGGCUGAACUUGGGGAAAAAGACCCCAGAUGGCCCCUUUCCAGAAGGACACCCAACAACUGUCUCUUCAAAGGAAAAGUUUCAAGUGAGUUUGCCUUUAUUUAUAUCCCAGCCUUUGAUGGGAGGGGUCUUGUCCUGAAGGCAGUCUGCCUAUUGCCCCAAUACAAAGUGAAUGGCUUCUGUUUGAUGGUACUAAACUCGUGGGCAAUCUCAGCCUCUGUGUUUACCUUUGAUUUGUCUACAGCUUUAAACACAUUCCCUAACCAUGUGUUUAUCAAAGCUUUCUGCUUGCUUUUUGUUCUGACUCUCACUGUAAACUUGGAUAAAUGUGCCCAGCUAAAAUCACGCUACAGCCCAAUGACUGCACUGUCUUAAAAUUUCUCCAUUAAACUAAUUGGCCUCAAACUGAAAUUUUCAAGUCACAGGCAGAACAUAGCCCAUUGUGCUGGCUACUAUAUCAAUUUUCCACAAGCUACAGUGAUCUGAGAGGAGAGAGCCUCGAUUGAGAAAAUGCCUCCAUACAAUCAAGCUGUAGGCAAAACUUUGGCACUUUCUUAAUUAAUGAUUGAUGUGGGGUCCAGCCCACUGUGGGUGGUGUCGUCCAUGGUCUGGUGGUCUUGGGUUCUAUAAGAAAGCAGACUGAGCCAGUCAGUAGGCAGCACCCCUCUGUGGCUUCUGAAUCAGCUCUGGCCUCCAGGUUCCUGCACUGACUUCCUUCAGUAGUGAAGGGAGUGUAAGCCAAAUAAAUCCUUUCCUACCCAGUUGUUCUGAUCAUGGUGUUUCUCCACAGCAAUAGAAAAAUCUAAGAUAAUCAUAUUCUUUGUCAGAGUGUGAUACAAAUAGCCACAAGUUUGCUCCCACCUGAAGCCUCGUGGUCUUUUCUGUCCACAUUUCUGCUCGAGUGCUGGCAUCUUGAACUCCCACCAGAAUCACCCAUUAUGCUCUAUUUACAGCAUCUUAGGGCUAUUCUAGCCUACACCUCCAAACUCUUCCAUGAACCAUUUCCAAAAGCCUAAAGAGAUUAGAGUUGGAUUUAUUACAGGAACUCCCACCCCACCCCCAGCCAGUUGUCUGUGUUAGUUACUUCUGCAUUGCUAUGACCACGAAACCUGACAUAGACAGAAACAAUUUAUCUUGGUUCAUGCUUCAGAGUGCCUGGGCCCAUCAGGCUGGGGGAAGCAUGGUGUUUACAGCAACCAAGGCAAGUAUUAGAGGCUGUCACAUCACGGCAGACCAGGAGACAGAGCCAGGACCUCUGGUAGGCUCAAACUGUCCAAGGCCUGCCCGUACGGAUUCUUCCUGCAAAGCAGGCCUCACCUCCUCACGCCACCAUCUUCCCAAGCUGGGGAUCAAGCACCAGAAACUCGAACCUGUGAACAUUUCAGUUGCAAACCAUACCGGGAGUCAGAUUACAGCCACUCUGUAUAUUGAAGGCUGUACAACUCACUCUGUUAAGAGAAAGCAAAGAUCUAAAUAAGUGCAGAGACAUGCUGUGUUUAUAGUUUGGGAGGCUUCAAAGAGGAAAGAUGUUAAUUAUCUUUCAAAUGUAUAUACAGGUUUAGCAUAAAUCCCAUCAAAACUGCAGGAAAAUUUUUAUGAAUAUAGACAAGCUUACUUUUCAUAGGGAAAGGCAAAGGAACAAGAAUAGCUGAAACCAUUUUGGGAUGGAAAAAACGAAGUGGGAGGAAUCCGUCUACACAACUUUAAGGCUUGCCAUCUAAAUAGUGGGCUACAGCCGUAGAGACUGGAUGGGACCUUUUGUGGGACAGGCAUGUAACAACCUCACAAAGCCCAGAGAGACCAUGCAACAUGUGUGAGUUUGAAAUGGGUGUGGAAGCAUCUGGAUGCAGGGGAGGAGGUCUCUUCAAUGAACAGUUCUGAGCAACUGAAAUAUUUCGGGGGAGAAGCAUCUUGCCAUAUAAAAUUUAACCUCAGAUGCAGCACAGGCUUCUAGGAAGAGCCAGGAAAGAAAUCGUCAUGCUCUAGGGUUAGGAAGAGUUUGACAAGAUUUUUAGGUCCUUCCUUUAUUAUUUUUCUCAUUUUAUUUUCUUCUGUUUUUUUUGUUUUGUUUUGUUUUGUUUUUCCUCCUGAAUUUUGUUUUAUUCGCCAGGGAGUUGGUGCAGGGGCAGAGGGCCGAUGCAAAGGGGCAGACGGAAUGAACGGGAUCAAGACACAUGAUGUGAAAAAUACAUAAAAGAAAGGAAUGAAGGAAGAAGGAAAGAAAGAGAGAGAGAGAGAAAGAGAGAGAGAAAGAAAGAAAGAGAAAGAAAGAAAGAGAAAUAAAGAAAGAAAGAGAGAGAGAAAGAAAGAAAGAUAGAAAGAAAGAAAAGAAAGAAAGAAAGAAAGAAAGAAAGAAAGAAAGAAAGAAAGAAAGAGAAAGAGUUCUCGGUCAUAAGACCACAAGCAUGAACCAGAGAAAGCUAGCAGUGGGACCAGGAUCUGUCCCUGGCAUAUCAGCUGACUUUUUGGAACCUAUUCCCUAUGGUAGGAUGCCUCAACUUCAAUAUAGGGGGAGGGGAGCUUGGUCCUGCCUCAACUUGAUAUACCAUGCUUUGUUGACUCCCAGGAGAGACCUAUCCUUUCUGAGGAGUGGAUGAGAGGGGCAUAGAAAGGAGGUGGGGGGAGGAAACUGGAGGAGAGGAGGGAGAGGAAACUGUGAUUGGUAUGUACAAUAAAUACAAAAUUUAAUAAUAAAAAUAAGAUUAACAACAAAAAA
rnacentral:lncRNA from 1 species